GGGUAACGGCCUACCAAGACGACGAUCAGUAGCCGGCCUGAGAGGGUGACCGGCCACAUUGGGACUGAGACACGGCCCAAACUCCUACGGGAGGCAGCAGUGGGGAAUAUUGCACAAUGGGGGAAACCCUGAUGCAGCGACGCCGCGUGAGUGAAGAAGUAUUUCGGUAUGUAAAGCUCUAUCAGCAGGGAAGAAAAUGACGGUACCUGAGUAAGAAGCCCCGGCUAACUACGUGCCAGCAGCCGCGGUAAUACGUAGGGGGCAAGCGUUAUCCGGAUUUACUGGGUGUAAAGGGAGCGUAGACGGCGAGGCAAGUUUGAUGUGAAAGCCUGGGGCUUAACCCCGGAACUGCAUUGGAAACUGCUUUGCUGGAGUGCCGGAGAGGUAAGCGGAAUUCCUAGUGUAGCGGUGAAAUGCGUAGAUAUUAGGAGGAACACCAGUGGCGAAGGCGGCUUACUGGACGGUAACUGACGUUGAGGCUCGAAAGCGUGGGGAGCAAACAGGAUUAGAUACCCUGGUAGUCCACGCGGUAAACGAUGAAUGCUAGGUGUUGGGGAGCAGAGCUCUUCGGUG
rnacentral:rRNA from 1 species